GACGAACGCUGGCGGCGUGCCUAAUACAUGCAAGUCGAACGCAGUGGGGACGGGUGAGUAACCCGUGGGUAACCUCCCAUCAGAGGGGAUAACACUUGGAAACAGGUGCUAAACCGAUACUGAUGGAUGGACCCGCGGUGCAUUAGCUAGUUGGUGAGGUAACGGCUCACCAAGGCCACGAUGCAAAGCCGACCGGAGAUGGGUAUCGGCCACACUGAGACGUAGACACGGCCCAGACUCCUACGGGAGUCAGCAGGAGGGAAUCUUCGGCAAUGGGGGGAACCCUGACCGAGCAACGCAGCGGGAGUGAAGAAGGUUUUCGGAUCGUAAAGCUCUGUGGUUAAGGAAGCGGUACUUAACCAGAAAGGGACGGCUAACUACGUGCCAGCAGCCGCGGUAAUAC
rnacentral:rRNA from 1 species